rnacentral:lncRNA from 1 species
GGGCAAUGCGCAUGCGGGAGGCACGAGCCCAUUCUCCCGUGACGGUGACUCCAACGGUUGGCUGAGGACGAUUCCCUGAGCCUUGACAAAGCAGGAGCCCUCCGUGGCAGUGCGUCGGGGUCGAGGCUCCAGCCUGACCAAUCCAGGGGGUCGACAAAACAGAUUCGGGACACCAUGCUACACGCAGGGCCUACCAGGAUGCAGAAACAGCAGACGGAGUCCGGGGAAAGCAGUGCGGCAUCCCAGCCUCAGGCCUGCCCGUACGGUGUUCGGGUGCCUCUGGACUCAUCCCCUGCCACCUGCCAUAACAACAUCAUGAAGCAGACGAUGGUGGAUUCCUCCUGUAGAAUCCUUACCAGUGACGUCUUCCAGGACUGCAACAAGCUGGUGGACCCCGAG